CACCGCAUGCAAAUUAUAAACACUCCGACCACCGUCGAUUGCGCUCGUGAAAUUCGUCUCCGACGAACUCUACGUUCAUUCAUCGAAUGCAUGCUCCCAUACUGUUGCACUUACCAACAACAACCUGCUCAUUCGUACCAAAACGACACCGUUUCGGUCUCUUCCUCUACUUCCUCAGACCACCCAACAACAACCUGCUCAUUCGUACCAAAACGACACCGUUUCGGUUUCUUCCUCAUCUUCCUCCUCAGACCACUCCUCCUCUUCCUCCAGCAUCGUAAGUGGAACUUUCUUCGGGCACAGUCGUGGCAGAGUCAGUUUCUGCCUUCAAGACG
rnacentral:lncRNA from 1 species